rnacentral:rRNA from 1 species
UACGUAGGGGGCUAGCGUUGUCCGGAUUUAUUGGGCGUAAAGGGCGCGUAGGCGGCCUGCUAAGUCGAACGUGAAAUCCCCGGGCUCAACCCGGGAACUGCGUCCGAUACUGUCAGGCUCGAGUCCGGAAGAGGCGAGUGGAAUUCCUGGUGUAGCGGUGAAAUGCGCAGAUAUCAGGAGGAACACCAGUGGCGAAGGCAGCUCGCUGGGACGGUACUGACGCUGAGGCGCGAAAGCGUGGGGAGCAAACAGG